CCUCGGAUCAGGUAGGAAUACCCGCUGAACUUACAACAGGGAUUGCCCUAGUAACGGCGAGUGAAGCGGCAACAGCUCAAAUUUGAAAUCUGGCUCUCGGGCCCGAGUUGUAAUUUGUAGAGGAUGCUUUUGAUGCGGUGCCUUCCGAGUUCCCUGGAACGGGACGCCAUAGAGGGUGAGAGCCCCGUCUGGUUGGAUGCCAAAUCUCUGUAAAGCUCCUUCGACGAGUCGAGUAGUUUGGGAAUGCUGCUCUAAAUGGGAGGUAUAUGUCUUCUAAAGCUAAAUACCGGCCAGAGACCGAUAGCGCACAAGUAGAGUGAUCGAAAGAUGAAAAGCACUUUGAAAAGAGAGUUAAAAAGUACGUGAAAUUGUUGAAAGGGAAGCGUUUAUGACCAGACUUGGGCUUGGUUAAUCAUCUGGGGUUCUCCCCAGUGCACUUUUCCAGUCCAGGCCAGCAUCAGUUUUCGCCGGGGGAUAAAGGCUUCGGGAAUGUGGCUCUCUCCGGAGAGUGUUAUAGCCCGUUGCGUAAUACCCUGGCGGGGACUGAGGUUCGCGCAUCUGCAAGGAUGCUGGCGUAAUGGUCAUUAACGA
rnacentral:rRNA from 1 species